AUCUGCCAACUUCUGUUGAAAGAUACUGAACGCUUUUUGAGUUGUCCACCGGAAAUGAAGCUCACCCCACCCUUUUGGGACUAAGUCCUAACCGUUUCCAUGGAAACCGGAAAAAUAAAUCUGCCAAAAAUCUGCCAAAUAGCAAAAGGCACCACUUUGGCAUCUGCCUCACAUAUCUGCCAAGUUUUGCUGAAAGAUAUUAAGAAGUUUUCGUGUUGUGCUCUGGAAGCGAAACCCACCCCUCCCUUUUGAGACUAAGUCCAAAUUUGUUUCCAUGGAAACCGACAAAAAUAAAAAUUACAAAAA